CACCAAACCAAGGGCCUUCCAGAAAACAGAAAUGAAAAGCUGUUCCAUCAGUGUGGAAAAGAGGAAAAUAUUUUCUGUACAAGAAAAAAGGGAAGCGUCUUGGUUUAAAAGACAAGUGUCUGCUAAGGAAGGCAGGAGCCUCCCUUGGAAUGGAAAAUGUAAACCCCGUCCCUCUGAAUUAUUGUAAUUUUGAAGUUAAGGGGCUCUCCGGGAAAGAUACGAGGAUAGGAUUAACAGUUCUUUCCCAGUACGUGUAACAAGGCGAACAAACACCACCUCUGGCGUUAAUAACAAACAGCCCCAGGACAGGAGCCCGUGCCCGUUCCCUGCGGGCCCUUCCCUGGCGCAGCUCCGGGCGAGAUCCCCCCGCGCCUGCAGGGGGCGCUGUGGCGGCCCGGGGGGUGGCGGCGAUGGCGGCGGGGCCCGGGCGGGACGGGAUGGAGGAGAGGCUUCGCCUCACAAACCUCUGUGCACAAACCCCUCCUGGUGCCCUGCGGGGCUCUCCGGAGCAGCGAGCUGGGACGGCAGGAUGGCUCGGCAGGCAGGGGCUGCGGGGCUGCGGUGCAGUGAAAGCUCGGAGCAGUGCCAAAGAAGCGGCGGGGUGGAGCAGAUGCGGCCCGGCUCUGAGCAGGGCAGGCAGAGGAACAAGAGCAAGCAGCAGUGCCAGGAGAACAGCACGCUGAGCUCCGAUAGCUGACUCCUCCUGGGACUGCAUCCCACAGUGCAGCUCCUCAUCCAUCAUCCACUGCACUACUGUUGUGGCCCGAGUUUCCUUCCACCAGGUGUGUGCUCCUUGUAUCUCAGCUCAGCACCCAGCAGAAUGGGUGCUGCUGGGCGCACUGAAGACAGGGUUUAAGUUGGCAGCUCCUGGACACUCAGUGGUCUGAGAAACGCCUCAGCACUUGUGUUUGGGGGAUGCACCCACAUGCUAGACCACACUCACAAAGUACAGGCAGAACAUGCCAAGCACCAGGAGCUCCUGUGCACUUGUGUCUGUCCCUGUGUGACCGAGUAGUGAUGCCUCCUGCACCCAUCCAAGAGGAACUUGCUCAUCCCUGGGUCACUCUGUGGUGUGAUGGCAUGGAGUGCCCUCCCCCAGCAUGGCGGCUGGACAGGGGGGCUAAGAGAAAGCCUUAGUCACUGUCUCUGCCUGGUUUUUGCGGUGUUUCUAGCUCUCCAUGGCAAGAGCAAACCAAACAGGCCAUAAUCUGAAUGAUCUGCCCCCUACUGAGAUGGAGAAGGGGAGCACCACCACAUUCCUGCAGUGCUUUGGAUGCCUCUGCAGCAGGAUUGCUUAAAACCCUGUAAUCCAUUAACACUGACUGCUUUAAUGUUGUACCAAGGUUACCUUGGUUUUAUUAGCCAGAAGAGUCAUGCAAUGACUUUUAGAGUGUGCUGCUUUCACAGAUGUAUCCUUAAAUUGUCAUUUAAGACAUAAGGGGAGCAAAGACCUUUUUAAAGUUGGAUUCAAUAACUUUUUAUAAGGGAGAACUAAAUUUAUAUCACCUGGUGAGACAUGAGAAAUUCUUAGUCCUUUGAUUUUUUUAUUUAGCUUUCUUAAGCGCUUUUGGUAAUAUUCAGAUUUCUAUGUGAAUUUCUGAUGUGGCUAUUUCAUAGAUUUUAUUUCAAAUACUAUUAAUCAUACCAAAUCAACAUCUUAGUAAUCUACAUUAUAUUACAAACACAAGCUGGCAUUGACAGGCAUUCUACUGAAUAUUUCAUUUGCUUUUCAUCUAGUUUCAUUUAAAAAAUGGGAAAAAUGAAAUGUCUGGUCUUUUAAAAUAGUUGUAUGUUGGCUGUUAGUUUUGACUACUGAGUACAGGCAUUUCUAAGCAAGCUGUUGCUCUUUUGCAGUCUCAAUGUACUUAAUUUUCAUCUAU